UACGAAGGGGGCUAGCGUUGCUCGGAAUUACUGGGCGUAAAGGGCGCGUAGGCGGGCUGUCAAGUCUGGGGUGAAAUCCCGCGGCUCAACCGUGGAACUGCCUCAGAUACUGACGGCCUCGAGGGAGAUAGGGGCGAGCGGAACUGAUGGUGGAGCGGUGAAAUGCGUAGAUAUCAGAAGGAACGCCGGUGGCGAAAGCGACGCACUGGAUCUCUACUGACGCUGAGGCGCGAAAGCUAGGGGAGCGAACGGG
rnacentral:rRNA from 1 species